rnacentral:rRNA from 1 species
UACAGAGGUCCCAAGCGUUGUUCGGAUUCAUUGGGCGUAAAGGGUGUGUAGGUGGCGCCGUAAGUCGGGUGUGAAAUUUCGGAGCUUAACUCCGAAACUGCAUUCGAUACUGCCGUGCUUGAGGACUGGAGAGGAGACUGGAAUUUACGGUGUAGCGGUGAAAUGCGUAGAUAUCGUAAGGAAGACCAGUGGCGAAGGCGGGUCUCUGGACAGUACCUGACGCUGAGGCACGAAGGCCAGGGGAGCAAACGGG